GAGGCGAGAACGACCCCUGGAUCGACCAAAGCCGCGUGCAACUGCAUCCCCGCGUUCAGCGUCUACGUUUCUUCCUCCCGCCGCGGCCCCACCAUGCCCAAGAGAAAGGUUGAAGGCGAUGCUAAAGGAGAUAAAGCCAAGGUGAAGGACGAGCCACAGAGAAGAUCCGCCAGGUUGUCUGCUAAACCUGCUCCUCCAAAGCCAGAGCCCAAGCCUAAAAAGGCCCCUGCAAAGAAGGGAGAGAAGGAACCCAAAAGGAAAAGGGGAAAAGCUGAUACUGGAAAGGAUGGAAAUAACCCUGCAGAAAAUGGAGAUGCCAAAACAGACCAGGCACAGAAAGCUGAAGGUGCUGGAGAUGCCAAGUGAAGUGUGUGCAUUUUUUGACAACUGUACUUCUGGUGACUGUACAGUUUGAAAUACUAUUUUUUAUCAAGUUUUAUAAAA